rnacentral:rRNA from 1 species
CCGAUGAGGUGGAAACGGACAGAGCUGGCGUAUCUGGCCUGCAUUCAGCCGCUGCGCGUCGGGCCCCGGUUUGCCGCACUCCAGAUUGGGAAGGUGGCUGGGCUGCUGGCGUGCUGGUGGUGCAUUUGCAGGUGGAGUGCGCCGAGGCGCCCGGUUCAGCGGCGUGAGCUCGGCUUUGAGGCCAGUCGCGCAAGCGGUCUGGUACCCGGGUCGGGGGAGUGUUGUUUGGGCUGGGUGUUCGCUGGGGCACAGGUUUCGGGCCCGGGUGGGUGCCGAGCUGGCGGUCGGCGGCGGUCGCGUGCGACACGUGCCAGCAGUCAGUUCGGUCCUGCUCGAGCUCUCUCGUGUCCGGCCUCGGUGUAAAAGCCGGUCAUCUGUCCGACCCGUCUUGAAACACGGACCAAGGAGUUUAGCGUGUGCGCGAGUCAUUGGGUGUUGAAAACCCAGAGGCGUAAUGAAAGUGAAGGUCUGCCUUGUGCAGCUGAUGUGUGAUCCUGGGCGCCGCGGUGCCCGGGCGCAACAUAGUCCCGUCCCGACUGCAUGCAGUGGGGCGGAGACAGAGCGUACGCGCUGAG